UUACAAAGAUCACCAUAAAUCUGAGAUAUAAAAUAAUUAAUGUACAGUUGCUAUGAUUUUUACAAUUUAUGAAAGUCCAUGAAUGUGUAACAGUGCCCAUAGACCUGAAGGGUAUACCUCAGAAGCAGCAUAAAGCACCAGGAUACAGUGCAGAACACAGGAUGGGGUAGUAUUUCAGUGCUUACAGCAAUGUGUGUAACCUUCCACUGAGCCUAGCAGGGAGUCUAACCCUCCUAAACAAACAUUUGUGAGGGGUUUUUUUGGGGGUUGUGGGUUUUUUCCUGUGGUGACUCCAAGACUCCACUUGACUUGCAGGCCCGAUGAAGAGUUUAUUUUCAAGUAUUGGUGGGUAGAAAACCUAAGCAUAUUUUGACAAGCUUCUUCCUAGAAAAACUUGUAUGGUAGGAAAGGGUGAGGAGUAAUUGUGAAUAUAGGCAUAUCUUUAUUUUUGUUUUAGAGCACAGUAGAAAUGACAGUAUGAUCAGGGCCUGGGAUCACUAAGGAUAGGAGGAACCAAGAAUUUGAGAAAAUCCUCCCUGAAAGUCCAUUAAAUUGGACAUUUGUGACCUUGAACUUUGAAUUAAACAUAGGUGAAUUUUUGUUGGUUUCAAAGUUCUAUUCAGUCUGGUCUAAAAUGAAAAAUAAGAGAAGUGAGCACAAGAAGGACAUGUUUCUGAGGCAUAGGAGUUGCUCUAAGAGUGCCAUAGGGGAGCUGCCCAGCAGGAGGUAUUUUGAAGCUGACAGGGUCAGGACAGAGUGAAUAAAUAUAAAAGAGCUAUGGCACGAAGUAUUAUGAUUUUUUUCCUUCUUCCUUUUUUUGUUCUAGGCUUCUCCCAGAAGAAUGCUGAUGAAAAGCACAGCAUCCCAAUGUUCACUUCCAAAGUAUGAUUAAGUUGCAGUUGAAAAUGGGAUUAAGGAAGGACUUUUGUGUGCAUCCAAAUGUCUUCCUAAAAGAUAGCCAUCACACAUUGAGAAUACUAAGCAAGAAGCUGUGGCAGUAAAAUUGCUCAGAAAUUCCUUAAAGUCAAUACUACGUGUUUUCCUUAGCCAUUUAUUUACAAGAAAAUGAAUAGCUUACUUGAUCCGUAGGAGGUGAAACAAUGUAAUAAAACUCUGAAAAGGCAUCCCUAUGAUUUAUCUGUUUCACUCAAAUAUGUAUCUUUUACUCAGGAUGUUUUCCCAAAGCUUAUUGAAGUACUGAUAGCAAAGUUGUUUACGUCACUUGUUUUUGGAGGAAAGGAAUGUGAGUGAAUCAUUUGUUUUUAAGAGAAAAGCUGAGAAGUUGUUUGUUAUUGAUUCGUCCAUUGCCUACAGUAAAUAUCUCAUUCAGUUAUUUAUGAAGCUGUAUUCAAAGAAUGCAUUGUAUCUUUUUUUGCCUUAUAACAUCAGUAUGCUACAAGAAACUUGUGAUAAUACAAAAUUUGUUGUUAUUUUUAGGAUAUGAUUUGAAUCAUAUGCUUUUAUAAUGAGAUUUGGCACAUAUGCUGUGACUUUAUGUUUCCUGAGCAAGUAUGAAUAUUAACAUACCUUAUCAUAAAACAAGCCUCUAUUUAAAAAACAUUUUUAUAUGUAAUUUA